CCCUCAAGUAACCUCGAACUGCAUCCGCCAGCACCAGCAACAGCAAUGGAGCACACGACGACCCAACACACGGCAGCCGCCGGGGAGCAGGAGAGCCCCCCCACGGCGUUGGCCUUGAGAAGCCUCGCCGACUACACCGUCGGGGCCAUCCCCACCCUAUUCUAUGUCCCCGACUUCAUCUCCCACUCCGAGCAAUCACAGCUCCUCCACCAUAUUUACCAGGCACCGGCGCCCAAGUGGAAAACCCUCAAGAACCGGAGGCUACAAAACUGGGGUACUCUUUGUCUUCUUCGCACUUGGUGGUUUUGGCUUGGAGAUUGCUUUAGCUUCCUCCUUUCCUUGACACGGUGUCGGAUUGAGCAGGAGGAGUGGUGCAUGAGAAGGGGCUCCUGCCGCAGGCCUGUGAGUGUGCUCAUAAAAGCUUGCAAAUUUUAGCUUGGUUUUGUGAAUCAAACUGAAGAUCAGGCAUAGCGUUGCAUAACUGAAGUUUGGCCCGUAAUCUAAUUUUGGUUCCAAUGUGCUUGGUUUCAAAUGUCUUAUCUUGUGAAAAUUCAAGUUCAAAUUCAAAGAGUAGUAGGAAGUCAGUCAAGGCUGGAUGUUUGUUCGAAUAUUGGAUAGGGAUUCAGAGAGGUUUACUCCCUUCAAGUUAGAAAAACAAAGAAUGUGCCUUCAUGGCUAACAAGGAUAACCGACAGAAUCUGCCAGUGGACUGGUUUAUUUCCUUCUGCAAUCAAUCACGUGCUGAUAAAUGAGUAUCAUCCUAACCAAGGGAUCAUGCCACACCAAGAUGGUCCUGCCUACUACCCUGUCGUUGCUAUCAUAUCUCUUGCUUCACCUGUCGUGAUUAAUUUCACACCCCAUCAAAAGCUUAAAGAGCAGCAGGACACUGAUCCACAGGACUUACUGGCCCAUGAGUUGCCUUCGCCAGCUGAGACAGAGAACAACGGCUCUGGAUCACAAGAACGUGGAGCCACAAAUGAAUCUGAUCCUUCAUCUUCAUCACUUAUGCUGAUGCCGUGCAGCCUGUUGAUAUUUAAGGAUCAGGCUUAUACAGACUACUUGCAUGGCAUACAAGAUAGUGAGCUACAUAAUCUGGACAAGGUGGAGAAUGUGUCUCAGUGCCAAGAACUGAAGCAUCUACAUUCGGACUCUAUCCUAGGGGGCAUGAGCAUGGAAGAGCAUGACACGUUCCGCAGGUCCGCCACAAGAGUCUCGCUUACGUGUCGGUUGGUGCUGAAAGUCCACAAAAAGCUAUUCAAAAUCUAGAAAUUCUGAUUAUAGCUUGUGAUUUAGAAUAGGGCUGCCAUUAUUCUUUGUAAGAUAUAUAUAGGUGUUGUGGGAGUUGUUUGGCCAGCAUGGUGUCCACAAAACAAAAAAACAUUUUCUGGUCAAGGAUCCCAAAGAGCUGUUGAGCCCAGUUUCUUAGAAAUCGACCAGGAAGCAUGGGAAAGGAACAAUAAACCAUUGGUUAUGAUGUUCGAGUAGGAGAUGAUGCUGUUUUCCGUGC